GCGGUUCGUAAUUGUCGGCCCAGUCCGUGUCGUUUGACGCGUCGUCGUCAUCGGCGCCCUUGCCGCUGUCCUCGCCGCUGCUGUUUGGAUUCUCGUAAUCAGCAUCUUCGUCAUCCUGAAACGUUCAAGCUGCCUUUGAAUCCAACAUCAACUGUCGCCACGGAGACGAUCAAUCGCAUGCACAGCAGAUGAGACAAAUGGCCCGCUGGCCGUGGCGAGAAGCAAAAAAAAACAAACUUGCACACGUUUUUCUCAACAAGCAGUGUAAGAAGAAACUCACCACAAAUCGCUUCCCAUUGAUGGAGUUCUUCAACACAGUUCUGUCACAGUCGGUCAGAUUCAUCUGGAACACAUACAGACACGCACACGUGGGGCCUCUUCGGAAAGUCAAAUCUCCCAACCUUUAAAUCACACUUUCCUUAACUUUUGUCAUCGGGUCAAAGAGAUGAAAAGGUGCUCCAUUUAGAAACGAUCAAACAAUAACAAAGUUAAAACAAUGGAAGUAAAUUAAUAAAUAAAGGGCAGAGUCUACAGUUGUGUUAAAAGCAAAGGAAUAAAAAUGGGUUUUGAGGCGGUUUUUAAAGGGGAGCUAAAUCCAAGAUGUGAAAACUUUGUUAUAUUUUAAAUGUGCCUAUCUUCUUUAUCUGAUGAUGUUUACUUUAAAUCUACGAGGUAUUUAUUCUUAAAAAUACAUUUCAAACAUUGCAUUUACCCACCUCCGGGGGCCGCCAUUCUUACGUCGUUACAUGCGCGAAGUCGCGGCCGGGAAUGUGACGUGCGAGAGUGGUAGGCUUCCGACAGCUUUUCAAAGACACUUUAAUUGGCGAAAACGAAUCUGCACACGUACUUUUGAUGCUGACAGCCUGACACAGUUGCAGUCCCUACCGAUCCAAUUUCAACAAACCAGACUCAAAUGUGUCAUAAACAAAGCAACGAGCUAACUGUACUGGCUGACUCCAAAGUCAAGAUCGUUGCAGUAAUCCAACAGAUAUGUGAAGGCGACAAUGAAUUGGUCGGCGAGCUGCUGAGGGCUCCACUCCACGACCUCCGACCGGGAUGGCACUCGGCCGCCGCUCAUCCUGCGUGGUCUGCCUCACCGCAGAAGACUUCCCAGUACCGUAAGUUGUUUUGAAGGGGCCUCAGAAUCGAGCUCCUGUGGUCCCUCUUUUCAGCUGCGCCCUCUGCAACAAUCUAAACUUCACUUUCAUCCAGUGGUUGGACUUCCUAACUGAAAAGUCAGUGAAAACUGAUCUCAAGCUUUCACGUCGUCGCCUAGGCCGACCUGUCAAAGUGGAACCAAGAUGGCUUCCUUCGUGCUUCCUGUCGCCUCUACUUGGUGUGUUUGUCAAUGUUUCACUCUCUCUCUUUCUUAACCUCAGAGGAAGUGACUGUGCAGACGGGAGGACGAGGGGAGAUGAAGGCAGCAUCUCCCCCCCCCCCCCCCCCCCCC